rnacentral:rRNA from 1 species
UGGGGAAUUUUGGACAAUGGGCGAAAGCCUGAUCCAGCAAUGCCGCGUGUGUGAAGAAGGCCUUCGGGUUGUAAAGCACUUUUGUCCGGAAAGAAAUCCUUGGCUCUAAUACAGUCGGGGGAUGACGGUACCGGAAGAAUAAGCACCGGCUAACUACGUGCCAGCAGCCGUGGUAAUACGUAGGGUGCAAGCGUUAAUCGGAAUUACUGGGCGUAAAGCGUGCGCAGGCGGUUUGCUAAGACCGAUGUGAAAUCCCCGGGCUCAACCUGGGAACUGCAUUGGUGACUGGCAGGCUAGAGUAUGGCAGAGGGGGGUAGAAUUCCACGUGUAGCAGUGAAAUGCGUAGAGAUGUGGAGGAAUACCGAUGGCGAAGGCAGCCCCCUGGGCCAAUACUGACGCUCAUGCACGAAAGCGUGGGGAGCAAACAGGAUUAGAUACCCUGGUAGUCCACGCCCUAAACGAUGUCAACUAGUUGUUGGGGAUUCAUUUCCUUAGUAACGUAGCUAACGCGUGAAGUUGACCGCCUGGGGAGUACGGUCGCAAGAUUAAAACUC